UACGUAGGGACCGAGCGUUAUCCGGAAUUAUUGGGCGUAAAGAGCUCGUAGGCGGUUUGUCGCGUCUGCCGUGAAAGUCCGGGGCUCAACUCCGGAUCUGCGGUGGGUACGGGCAGACUAGAGUGAUGUAGGGGAGACUGGAAUUCCUGGUGUGGCGGUGAAAUGCGCAGAUAUCAGGAGGAACACCGAUGGCGAAGGCAGGUCUCUGGGCAUUAACUGACGCUGAGGAGCGAAAGCAUGGGGAGCGAACAGG
rnacentral:rRNA from 1 species